rnacentral:rRNA from 1 species
GACGAACGCUGGCGGCGUGCUUAACACAUGCAAGUCGAGCGGUAAGGCCCUUUCGGGGGUACACGAGCGGCGAACGGGUGAGUAACACGUGGGUGACCUGCCCUUAGCUCUGGGAUAAGCCUGGGAAACUGGGUCUAAUACCGGAUAUGACUCCAUGACGCAUGUUGUGGGGUGGAAAGCCUUGUGCGGCUAGGGAUGGGCCCGCGGCCUAUCAGCUUGUUGGUGGGGUGAUGGCCUACCAAGGCGACGACGGGUAGCCGGCCUGAGAGGGCGACCGGCCACACUGGGACUGAGACACGGCCCAGACUCCUACGGGAGGCAGCAGUGGGGAAUCUUGCGCAAUGGGCGAAAGCCUGACGCAGCGACGCCGCGUGAGGGAUGACGGCCUUC